CUUUCCGGUGAGGGAACCUCUCUCCAGACAUGAUCAAGAGAAACUGGCGAGGGACUGACAUGAUCUAGCUUACCUUGGGUCACCGAACGGAUUUGGCAUGUGACAUAAUUAUCCCAGCGAUCACUAAAACUGUAAAUUUGGAUGCAAUUAAGAGAGAAAACUCCACACAUUUAUGGAAAUUUAAGAUAUUGAAUAUGUAGUAUAUGCCAGACAAGAUGAUAAUAAAAACUAAAAGAUUUGCAGCUUGCUGGCUUGCUGAGUGGAAAAUGAUUCUUUCCCAGUUCUCCUUGGUUUCUUCCUUUCAUGAAUUGAUUAACACUGAGAGAUUAUGUUUUAAUUAUGUCGACUAGAGGUUUUAAAUGAUUCUAGGUUUCUGUGUCCAUUUGUUUUCCUAGGUUUGGGGAAUUUGCUACUGCAAUAUCGUUGUAUAGAUAUUCUUUGCUUUAGUGAGAAACUCAGCUCCUUCUACUCUGUGGUUCUUAGCUUUAGUCUAUUGUACACAUCACAGAGUUAAUGAAAGCUGUGGUCAUACUUGAUUUUUUCUUCAUUACUAUUGAAAUAAAGCAUAUCCUUGACCUUGUCUCCAAUCUCUAUUUUCAAGUCUGUUGGGGAUACAUUCCACUAUUGUUUGAUUGAAAUAUCCAUUUCCAACAUUUCUAUUACUUUGCUUCUUUUUUUUUUGUCCCCACCAAAAAUAAAUAUUUAUAGAAUUGUAAAUCAAAAUGAAACAUUUUUCUGUAUGUAUAAAAACAAAAGGAAACAAACAAAUAAAAAAAUCUGCAUAUUGA
rnacentral:lncRNA from 1 species